GUGUAGCUCAGUGGUAAAGCACUUGUCUUUUGCACAAAAGAUCCCGGGUUCCAUUCUCAUGCAUCUCCA